UACGUAGGGGGCAAGCGUUGUCCGGAAUCAUUGGGCGUAAAGCGCGUGUAGGCGGCUGAGUAAGUCUGCUCUGAAAGCCCGGGGCUCAACCCCGGGAGGCGGGUGGAUACUGCUCAGCUCGAGUCCGGAAGAGGAGUGUGGAAUUCCUGGUGUAGCGGUGAAAUGCGUAGAUAUCUGGAGGAACACCGGUGGCGAAGGCGGCAUCCUGGACCGGUAUUGACGCUGAGGCGCGAAAGCCAGGGGAGCAAACGGG
rnacentral:rRNA from 1 species